UACGAGAGGCCCAAACGUUAUUCGGAUUUACUGGGCUUAAAGAGUCCGUAGGCGGCGCAGAAAGUGGGGUGUGAAAUCCCUCGGCUUAACCGAGGAAUUGCGCUCCAAACUCCUGUGCUUGAGGAAUCUAGAGGUGAGCGGAACUGAUGGUGGAGCGGUGAAAUGCGUUGAUAUCAUCAGGAACACCGGAGGCGAAGGCGGCUCACUGGGGAUUUUCUGACGCUGAGGGACGAAAGCCAGGGGAGCGAACGGG
rnacentral:rRNA from 2 species